GAAGAAAUGACUACUCUCUUACUACUGCUAUUCAAUUGUUUGAUCACGGUUAUUGGGUUCCCUACAAGCGAAUAUAGGAUGUCACAUUACCUUCCUCUGCAACUUAAUAUUACAUCAUUUGUAUCACGUGACAUAAGUUAUGCUUAUAUGUCAUCGCGUCUCUAACCUAACUUAACCCUAAAGACUACUAUUACUACUUUUCUUCGCAUUACAACACAAUUUUUUCUCUUUUUCCUCUAUGACAACGAAGUAUAAACAUAACUCAUGUCACGUGAUCCAAGUGAAGUAUAAGUGGUAAUGAAGCUAAUGUGACGUUAUCUAUUCCCUUGUAAGGAAUUCUCCCAGCAACCAUGGUGUAGUUCAAGUAUUCUUAGGUAGAUGCGUAGAUGGUUGAUACUAAUAUAACAAUAUACAUACAAAUGCUGAAAAGUUUGGUAUGGAACGAAUUCUUGAUAGGAGAAAAAAGAAACAAAAGAAAGAGUAACAUAUUGGCUCCAGGAUCGAAUUUUGCAUAUUUCUGUUCUAUGAAUUCUUUAUUCUUUUAAUUAUUAUAAUUUUAAUAAAAAUUAGAAAUAUAAUGUAUGUUAGAACGCGUGAUGAUUCCUCAGAUAAAUUUGGAUUCAUCAGGUUGAAAUAAAAAAUAAAAUUAUAAUUUUAAUGUAAAUUUUAUUUUCUACAAUUUUUUUCGAUGUGUAUUUAAAAGAAAAUGAAAUCUCAUAGUAAAAUAUACGAUUUUAAUAAUCUAUAUGCUUUUAAUCGUCGUUGCUAUGCGACUUCAUGAAUCGGUGAUGCUAAAUAGUAACAAUGAUGAUAAUUAUAACGAUGGAAAAUGUAUGUGACAAUGGUAAAAUAAUAAUAAUAAUAAUAAUAAUAAUAAUAAUAAUAAUAAUACCAUAACAUAAUAUAUAAUAUAAAAUGGUGUAACACGUUAAUAUUUGCGAUGACAAACGGCACGCCGCUACUACGCUAGGACUACACUCAGGGAAAGAAAAAUAU